rnacentral:rRNA from 1 species
AUUGAACGCUGGCGGCAUGCUUUACACAUGCAAGUCGAACGGCAGCGCGGGCUUCUGCCUGGCGGCGCGUGGCGAACGGGUGAGUAAUACAUCGGAACGUGCCCAGUAGUGGGGGAUAGCUCGGCGAAAGCCGUAUUAAUACCGCAUACGACCUGAGGGUGAAAGCGGGGGAUCUUCGGACCUCUCGCUCUUGGAGCGGCCGAUGGCCGAUUAGCUAGUUGGUGGGGUAAAGGCCUACCAAGGCGACGAUCUGUAGCUGGUCUGAGAGGACGACCAGCCACACUGGGACUGAGACACGGCCCAGACUCCUACGGGAGGCAGCAGUGGGGAAUUUUGGACAAUGGGCGAAAGCCUGAUCCAGCAAUGCCGAGUGUGUGAUGAAGGCCUUCGGGUUGUAAAGCACUUUUGGCGGGAACGAAAAGGACUGUGCCAAGACCACGGGUCGAUGACGGUACCCGCAGAAUAAGCACCGGCUAACUACGUG